GAAAUAGAACCUGAAACCGUGUGCUUACAAGUAGUCAGAGCCCGUUAAUGGGUGAUGGCGUGCCUUUUGUAGAAUGAACCGGCGAGUUACGAUUUGAUGCAAGGUUAAGCAGUAAAUGUGGAGCCGUAGCGAAAGCGAGUCUGAAUAGGGCGUUUAGUAUUUGGUCGUAGACCCGAAACCAGGUGAUCUACCCUUGGUCAGGUUGAAGUUCAGGUAACACUGAAUGGAGGACCGAACCGACUUACGUUGAAAAGUGAGCGGAUGAACUGAGGGUAGCGGAGAAAUUCCAAUCGAACCUGGAGAUAGCUGGUUCUCUCCGAAAUAGCUUUAGGGCUAGCCUCAAGUGAUGAUUAUUGGAGGUAGAGCACUGUUUGGACGAGGGGCCCCUCUCGGGUUACCGAAUUCAGACAAACUCCGAAUGCCAAUUAAUUUAACUUGGGAGUCAGAACAUGGGUGAUAAGGUCCGUGUUCGAAAGGGAAACAGCCCAGACCACCAGCUAAGGUCCCAAAAUAUAUGUUAAGUGGAAAAGGAUGUGGCGUUGCCCAGACAACUAGGAUGUUGGCUUAGAAGCAGCCAUCAUUUAAAGAGUGCGUAAUAGCUCACUAGUCGAGUGACACUGCGCCGAAAAUGUACCGGGGCUAAACAUAUUACCGAAGCUGUGGAUUGUCCUUUGGACAAUGGUAGGAGAGCGUUCUAAGGGCGUUGAAGCAUGAUCGUAAGGACAUGUGGAGCGCUUAGAAGUGAGAAUGCCGGUGUGAGUAGCGAAAGACGGGUGAGAAUCCCGUCCACCGAUUGACUAAGGUUUCCAGAGGAAGGCUCGUCCGCUCUGGGUUAGUCGGGUCCUAAGCUGAGGCCGACAGGCGUAGGCGAUGGAUAACAGGUUGAUAUUCCUGUACCACCUAUAAUCGUUUUAAUCGAUGGGGGGACGCAGUAGGAUAGGCGAAGCGUGCGAUUGGAUUGCACGUCUAAGCAGUAAGGCUGAGUAUUAGGCAAAUCCGGUACUCAUUAAGGCUGAGCUGUGAUGGGGAGAAGACAUUGUGUCUUCGAGUCGUUGAUUUCACACUGCCGAGAAAAGCCUCUAGAUAGAAAAUAGGUGCCCGUACCGCAAACCGACACAGGUAGUCAAGAUGAGAAUUCUAAGGUGAGCGAGCGAACUCUCGUUAAGGAACUCGGCAAAAUGACCCCGUAACUUCGGGAGAAGGGGUGCUCUUUAGGGUUAACGCCCAGAAGAGCCGCAGUGAAUAGGCCCAAGCGACUGUUUAUCAAAAACACAGGUCUCUGCUAAACCGUAAGGUGAUGUAUAGGGGCUGACGCCUGCCCGGUGCUGGAAGGUUAAGAGGAGUGGUUAGCUUCUGCGAAGCUACGAAUCGAAGCCCCAGUAAACGGCGGCCGUAACUAUAACGGUCCUAAGGUAGCGAAAUUCCUUGUCGGGUAAGUUCCGACCCGCACGAAAGGCGUAACGAUUUGGGCACUGUCUCAACGAGAGACUCGGUGAAAUCAUAGUACCUGUGAAGAUGCAGGUUACCCGCGACAGGACGGAAAGACCCCGUGGAGCUUUACUGUAGCCUGAUAUUGAAAUUCGGCACAGCUUGUACAGGAUAGGUAGGAGCCUUUGAAACGUGAGCGCUAGCUUACGUGGAGGCGCUGGUGGGAUACUACCCUAGCUGUGUUGGCUUUCUAACCCGCACCACUUAUCGUGGUGGGAGACAGUGUCAGGCGGGCAGUUUGACUGGGGCGG
rnacentral:rRNA from 1 species